rnacentral:lncRNA from 1 species
UUAUAUUACUUAUGGGUGCCGUAUUUAUGUUAUGUUAUGUAAUCUGCUUCUGUGCUUUACUAUGUGUUUGUGUGGUAUCUCGUGCCUUGAGCCGGGGGUCUAUCGGAAACAGCCUUUCUACUUCUUUAGAGGUAGAGGUAUGGACUGCGUACAUCUUACCCCCCAGACCCCACUAGGUGGGAAUACACUGGGUUUGUUGUUGUUGUUG